rnacentral:lncRNA from 1 species
GUAGAGGAUGGAUGAAGGGGUGAAUGUGGAAGGAGAAGAUAAAAAGGUUUUGUUAAUUUUUCUUUUCUUUCUUUUUUUAUUUUCAGCGAGCCAAUGGUGAGAGAAGAGAGAGGAGUGAUUUUGUGAGGAUUCCCAAUUAUUGAGUGAGUGAAGUCAAUUUAAUUCUCUUUUUUUUUCUUUUUGUCGCAUGUGGAGGAGGCG